UCUAUGUCAAAAUCAUACUUCUGGAAAAAAUAUUAAAGUAUUAAACAGAAAAAAAUUAUGUUCAUAAAAGAUGCACUAUUGUUAUGAUGGGAAUUCUUCCCAGACUUAUCUAUAGAUUCAAUGCCAUUUUCUACUCAAAAUCCCAUUAAGCUUGGUUUGUUUCACUUUUUUUGGGGGGGGAGAUAAAAAUUGACAAACUAAUUCUAAAAGUUAUGUGAAAAUAAAAACCAUCCUGAAAAAGAAUAAAGUCCAUAUUAAACUUAAUGUAAGUGAUUACUUAAAGCAUGAUACAUACAAGUAUAAUUCAAAUGUUUUAAAGGAAAUAAUGCUAAAACAACUGAAUAUCCAUAUAAAGGGUAAAUAAAAUUUUUGAUUCCUUGUUCAUUUCAAAUUCCCGAGUUAACCCAAUAGGAUCACACACUUAAAAGCAAAAACUGCAAAAGAUUUGGGAAGGAUAAGAAUAUCUUUGCUUGAACAUUUUAAUAACUAGAGUGGGCAAAGAUAUCUUGGAAAACAAAAGGCUCAGCUGGGCAUGGUGACCUAGACCUGUAAUCCUAGGGUUUAGGAGACUGAGGAAGGAUAUUCAAAGAUUCCAUGCCACCCUGAGCUGAAUAGUAAGACCCUGUCUGAAAACCCAAAAAGAAAAAUGUUGUAUUUAUAGACAAAAAGUUAAAAACGAGAUUAUAUCAAAUUAAAACUUGUAUUUUAGAAAGUAGUUUUAAGAAGUAAAAAGCUAAGCCAAGAACUAGUAUGUAAUACUUAAAACCUAUAUGAAGAAAACUUGAUUCCAGAAUUUAUAAAGAUGUCUGUGGUGGAGGGGUGGGGGUUGGGUUGGGGAAAGGGAAGGUAGAAGAGAAAAAAUGAAGAAGAGGGUAACAAGUAUGA